ACGGUGGACCGUCGCUACUACCGAUUGAAUGGCUUAGUGAGCCUUUGGGAUUGGCGGCCAGCACCGGCAACGGUAGCUGGCUGCCGAAAACUUAGGCAAACUUGGUCAUUUAGAGGAAGUAAAAGUCGUAACAAGGUUUCUGUAGGUGAACCUGCAGAAGGAUCAUUAGUGAAUUGCCUGGGGUUUGAGAUACGCACGCUACACAACGUGCCUCUCCCCCAAUCCACUAUUUAUCCACAAACCCUGUGCACCGUGUGGAAGCGCGUUUGGAUUGCUUAAUGGCGUCCGGGCGCCUUCCUUCUCUAAAAACACGCAUGUUUGUAUGAACGUGAUUGAUGUUGGUUCACAACCAACGAACAAAACACAACUUUCGACAACGGAUCUCUUGGUUCUCCCAUCGAUGAAGAACGCAGCGAAACGCGAUAGGUAAUGUGAAUUGCAGAAUUCCGUGAAUCAUCGAAUCUUUGAACGCACCUUGCGCUCUGUGGUAUUCCGCAGAGCAUGCCUGUUUGAGUGCCGUGAAAUCUCUCCCCCCAAGUGGUGUUUGUAUAGGACGCUACGCGGCGGCGGAGGUUGGAUGAGCGUCGUGCCUACCGCGCUUGGUAGGCUCGCUCGAAAAGCAUGAGCGCUUGAGAACACUUGUCGCCUGUGAGAGGCAGGCGGGCAGAACAGGUGAGCGAAUGCUUCUCCUCCGGAGAAGCGCCCACCGGUCUGCGUGUGCGCAUGGCAUGAUACGUUCCUUGCUAUGUGUGGCGCGCAAACCCCAUCUGGGUUAGUAGCUUCUUGCUUCUGGCGUGAUCUCGUGUGCGCUUCGAAUCGCACAGCCCUCUCUUCACUUCUGGCCUCAAAUCAGGUAGGAUCACCCGCUGAACUUAAGCAUAUCAAUAAGCGGAGGAAAAGAAACUAACAAGGAUUCCCCUAGUAACGGCGAGCGAAGCGGGAAGAGCUCAAAUUUGAAAGCUGGCACCUCCGGUGUCCGCGUUGUAAUUUCGAGACGUGUUUUCCGCGUGGCGCCAUGGACAAGUUCCCUGGAAUGGGACAUCGUAGAGGGUGAAAAUCCCGUACUUGCCAUGGACGUACCAUGCUUUGCGAUACACGCUCCAAGAGUCGAGUAGUUUGGGAUUGCUGCUCAAAAUGGGUGGUAGACUCCAUCUAAAGCUAAAUAUCGGGGAGAGACCGAUAGCGAACAAGUACCGUGAGGGAAAGAUGAAAAGCACUUUGGAAAGAGAGUUAAAAGUACGUGAAAUUGUCGAAAUGGAAGCGCUUGAAGUCAGCCAUGCGGCUGGGGACUCACCUUGGCGUCUCGCUGAGGGUAUUUCUCCAGUAGCAAGUCAGCAUUGGUUUGCGGCGCCGGAGAAGGGUCCAGGGAAGGUGGCACCCUCGGGUGUGUUAUAGCCCUGGACUGGAUACGGCGCGGCGGACCAAGGAGCGCAGUGUGCCCUCGUGGCGGGUCUUUGGACACCUCACACUAGGAUGCUGGCGUAUCCA
rnacentral:rRNA from 1 species